rnacentral:rRNA from 1 species
AGUGCCGUUGAUACUGGGGAGCUAGGAUUUGGUUGCUGUGGGUGGAAUGUGUGGUGUAGCGGUGAAAUGCUUAGAGAUCACACAGAAUAUCGAUUGCGAAGGCAGCUCACAAAGCCAAGAUUGACGCUGAGGCACGAAAGUGUGGGGAUCAAACAGGAUUAGAUACCCUGGUAGUCCACACUGUAAACGAUGAUAACUCGCUGUCGGCGAUACACAGGCGGUGGCCAAGCGAAAGCGAUAAGUUAUCCACCUGGGGAGUACGACCGCAAGGUUGAAACUCAAAGGAAUUGACGGGGGCCCGCACAAGCGGAGGAACAUGUGGUUUAAUUCGAUGAUACGCGAGGAACCUUACCCGGGCUCGAACGGUGCAGGAAUAUGGUAGAGAUAUCAUAGCUAGCAAUAGUCUGUAUCGAGGUGCUGCAUGGUUGUCGUCAGCUCGUGCCGUGAGGUGUCGGCUUAAGUGCCAUAACGAGCGCAACCCUUGUCAUUAGUUACCAUCAGGUCAAGCUGGGGACUCUAAUGAGACUGCCACCGUAAGGUGAGAGAAAGGGGGGGAUGACGUCAAAUCAGCACGGCCUUUAUGUCCGGGGCGACACACGUGUUACAAUGGGGGGUACAGAGGGCAGCCAUCCGGCGACGGAGCGCCAAUCUCAAAACCCUUCUCAGUUCGGAUUGGAGUCUGCAACCCGA